rnacentral:rRNA from 1 species
AACGAACGCUGGCGGCAUGCCUAACACAUGCAAGUCGAACGAGACCUUCGGGUCUAGUGGCGCACGGGUGCGUAACGCGUGGGAAUCUGCCCUUGGGUUCGGGAUAACAGUUGGAAACGACUGCUAAUACCGGAUGAUGUCUUCGGACCAAAGAUUUAUCGCCCAGGGAUGAGCCCGCGUCGGAUUAGCUAGUUGGUGAGGUAAAGGCUCACCAAGGCGACGAUCCGUAGCUGGUCUGAGAGGAUGAUCAGCCACACUGGGACUGAGACACGGCCCAGACUCCUACGGGAGGCAGCAGUGGGGAAUAUUGGACAAUGGGCGAAAGCCUGAUCCAGCAAUGCCGCGUGAGUGAUGAAGGCCUUAGGGUUGUAAAAUCCUUUCACCGGUGAAGAUAAUGACUGUAGCCGGAGAAGAAGCCCCGGCUAACUUCGUGCCAGCCGCCGCCGUAACAC